GACGAACGCUGGCGGCGUGCUUAACACAUGCAGGUCGAACGGAAAGGCCCUGCUUUUGUGGGGUGCUCGAGUGGCGAACGGGUGAGUAACACGUGAGUAACCUGCCCUUGACUUUGGGAUAACUUCAGGAAACUGGGGCUAAUACCGGAUAGGAGCUCCUGCUGCAUGGUGGGGGUUGGAAAGUUUCGGCGGUUGGGGAUGGACUCGCGGCUUAUCAGCUUGUUGGUGGGGUAGUGGCUUACCAAGGCUUUGACGGGUAGCCGGCCUGAGAGGGUGGCCGGCCACAUGGGGACUGAGAUACGGCCCAGAAUCCUACGGGAGGCAGCAGUGGGGAAUAUUGCACAAUGGGCGGAAGCGUGAUGCAGCAACGCCGCGUGCGGGAUGACGGCCUUCGGGUUGUAAACCGCUUUCGCCUGUGACGAAGCGUGAGUGACGGUAAUGGGUAAAGAAGCACCGGCUAACUACGUG
rnacentral:rRNA from 1 species